GAACUCAACAGAGGACAUAGGGGUUAAUUAAGAAGGGGGAAAAAGAGCAUGAAAGAAUGCUUGCGGGGAAUAUAUAAACUGACUCUAAAAGCUUCUUUAGAUAAAUAAAAAGGA